rnacentral:rRNA from 1 species
CGUCAAGUCAUCAUGGCCCUUACGACCAGGGCUACACACGUGCUACAAUGGGAAGGACAAAGGGUUGCUAAGCCGCGAGGUGGUGCUAAUCUCAUAAACCUUUUCGUAGUCCGGAUCGGAGUCUGCAACUCGACUCCGUGAAGUCGGAAUCGCUAGUAAUCGUGGAUCAGAAUGCCACGGUGAAUACGUUCCCGGGUCUU